rnacentral:tRNA from 1 species
UCCCUGGUGGUUCAGUGGCUAAGACUCUGUGCUCCCAAUGCAGGGGGUCCAGGUUCGAUCCCUGGUCAGGGAA